GGUACAGUUCUUGGCUGAUCCCUUUCGCUUUGUGGCGUGCUCGAUUGGGUUGGGCACCGGCUAAGAGUGCUCGGAGCGUGGAUUAACUCCAGUCUCCAAUCAGGUAAUUUCCAGCCUUAGACGGAUCGGAGCUGCGAGGGGCUCGGAGGAAGCCACA